rnacentral:rRNA from 1 species
UACGGAGGGUGCGAGCGUUAAUCGGAAUUACUGGGCGUAAAGGGUGCGUAGGUGGUUUGUUAAGUUAUCUGUAAAAUCCCUGGGCUCAACCUGGGCAUGCCAGAUAAAAACUGAUGGACUCGAGUACGGGAGAGGGUAGUGGAAUUUCCGGUGUAGCGGUGAAAUGCGUAGAGAUCGGAAGGAACACCAGUGGCGAAGGCGGCUACCUGGCCUGAUACUGACACUGAGGCACGAAAGCGUGGGGAGCAAACAGG